rnacentral:rRNA from 1 species
AUUGAACGCUGGCGGCAGGCCUAACACAUGCAAGUCGAGCGGACGAAGGGAGCUUGCUCCUGUAUUCAGCGGCGGACGGGUGAGUAAUGCCUAGGAAUCUGCCUGGUAGUGGGGGAUAACGUCCGGACACGGGCGCUAAUACCGCAUACGUCCUGAGGGUGAAAGUGAGGGAUCUUCGGACCUCACGCUAUUAGAUGAGCCUAGGUCGGAUUAGCUAGUUGGUGGGGUAAAGGCCUACCAAGGCGACGAUCCGUAGCUGGUCUGAGAGGAUGAUCUGUCACACUGGAACUGAGACACGGUCCAGACUCCUACGGGAGGCAGCAGUGGGGAAUAUUGGACAAUGGGCGAAAGCCUGAUCCAGCCAUGCCGCGUGUGUGAAGAAGGUCUUCGGAUUGUAAAGCACUUUAAGUUGGGAGGAAGGGCAGUAAGUUAAUACCUGGCUGUUUUGACGUUACCAACAGAAUAAGCACCGGCUAACUUCGUG